rnacentral:misc_RNA from 1 species
UAGAAAUGAUUUGGAACAAGGUCUUGCUAAGCCGGCACAGAGCGGUCUAAGGCUUGGCAAUGCACUCCAGCGCUCCGCAACUCUUCCUGCCAAUCCAAAAAAAUUGACCAAACCGCGGGUUACAUUCCGUGUUCGUUCACCAUCAACAGAUCAAAACAAUAACAAUAAUAUAAAAAUGACAUCGGAAGAUCUGCUGCAGCCCGGUCACGUGGUCAAAGAACGGUGGAAAGUUGUCCGUAAAAUCGGUGGCGGAGGUUUUGGAGAAAUUUAUGAAGGACAAGAUUUAAUAACUCGUGAACAAGUCGCACUAAAAGUUGAAUCUGCACGGCAACCGAAGCAAGUUUUGAAAAUGGAAGUCGCCGUACUUAAAAAACUACAAGGGAAAGAACAUGUUUGCAGAUUUAUCGGAUGCGGAAGGAAUGAUCGGUUCAAUUAUGUGGUUAUGCAGUUGCAAGGAAAAAACUUAGCUGAGCUGAGACGUGCCCAACCACGUGGUGCAUUUUCUCUGAGUACAACGUUGCGUUUAGGAGUCCAAAUUUUGAAAGCAAUUGAGUCAAUACAUUCAGUUGGAUUUCUUCACCGAGAUAUAAAGCCGAGCAACUUCUCAAUUGGACGUUUGCCAUAUAAUUGCCGCAGAGUUUAUAUGCUUGACUUUGGACUAGCGCGACAAUAUACUACUGGUACAGGAGAAGUGCGUUGCCCACGAGCAGCAGCAGGAUUUAGAGGCACGGUACGAUACGCUUCAAUAAAUGCUCAUCGGAAUAGGGAAAUGGGUAGACAUGACGACUUGUGGUCACUAUUUUAUAUGUUGGUUGAAUUUGUAAAUGGACAACUUCCCUGGCGAAAAAUCAAAGAUAAAGAACAAGUAGGAUUAAUGAAAGAAAAAUAUGAUCAUCGACUUCUACUCAAACAUCUGCCGUCAGAUUUAAAACAAUUUCUAGAGCAUAUACAAUCCCUUACAUAUGCAGAUAAGCCAAAUUAUGCUAUGUUAGAGUCAUUAUUUGAGAGAUGUAUGAAACGACGAGGUGUCAAAGAAUCAGAUCCAUACGACUGGGAAAAAAGUGAUGCAACUGGGAACUCAAACUCUAGUCAAGGAAAUAACGUCCAAAUGCAAGCUAAAAAUGAAUACCUCCAUGGAAAUGUCACUCAAAUGACUGUUGCUGCUUCAAAUGCGAGUGGAACUGACUGCGUGGUCCGAAGGCGUAAUGAAAUCGAUACUGUUCAGAUGGCAACAACAGAGCCAGUCAAUCACCAUAAAGAUAAGGUUGAUAAAAAUUGUAAUGCCACUACUUCGCCUCAUCACGAAAUCAAUUCAGGAUUAAAUGAAAAUAAUACAAUUGAUCAACAUCAUCAACGUGAACCACGGGAGAACACACAACAACAGCAUACACGGUCACAAAUGUAUACCGCACCACCCAAUCAACCACAGAAUUUGUCGUCGUUCUUGAAAUUGAAUUCGAACGAUCAAGAAGAUCAAAAUCAACCAAAUAAUGCUCAUCUACAGCACAACAUGCAAGGAGUAUCAAUGCAACCUAUGAAGGCGCAAUUGGUUUCGAGCGAACGUGAUACUGCGCCACAAACACAUUAUCAUCAAUCGCAUUCGCGAAGCGAUCACCAGCCGGCCCAUCAUCACCACCACCAAAGUAUUCAUGCUUCACUGCAAAAAAAAAUUCAUUCCUCGGUACAAGAAUCGAACCAAAAUACUCAUAUGACUGGAAAUCCUAUGAAAACCGCGUCAGCCGGAGCAAUUCCUUCGCUUGCAGGGGUAGUUAGCUCACCACACCGAACAGCUCAGACCGGAACCACUGAUGGAGAGGCGGCACAUAAUUUUUUUUGUGGGAAUGAGAAUGCGAGUAGUUGCAAUAAGCUUCCCAAGUCUAGUCAGGAAAAGUCAACUUAUGGUCGGCUGCGAGUGUUCACCGCUCCACCUACCUCAGUUCACGAACUAGCGGGAACAACGGCAGAAACAGGAUCACCCCGUGAAACAGAAGGGUCACCCUUUUCUUUCGACUUGAAUAAAAUGGAAUUUCGAAACCAAAGGCAUUCAGCUGGGGGUGGUGGUAGCGGAAGCGUUGGUAUGAAUAUCACAGGUGGUCGACGAUCGAAUUUGCGCCCUUCUUCAGGCUCGGGAUCAACACAUCGCCUAAGUUCAUCAGGUGGUGAUAGAGGUGGUUUAAGCAUUGGCGGAAACCGAGAUCAUUCAGUUACGCAGUUCGCCCUUAUCGAUGAUGAAAAUGUUUCUGCUCUGCAACAGGUGACAAAAGGCGGUGGUGCUUUAACUUUAGCGUCGCAAUGGAAGAGCCAGUUUGAUGAUUCAGAGGAAACCACGGAUAACGAGUGGAAACAAGAACCGCAGAGCCCUGAUCAUAAAGAUAAAAGCAAUUUAGGAUCACAUUCACAACCUAAUUUAAUAAAUAGGCAACCACAAAUACGCCGUCGUGAAAUCAAACGUAAAAAAUGUAAUUUAAAUAUAGCUGGAAUUGAGAAUUACAGCAAUUUACAUGAAUUGCUUCCACAUUGCUGGUCCGAACCAGCUCUAGGAAAUGUUUUACGUCGCGAUCUAAAGCCACCUGUUAUCCAACAAGCUGCAUUUGACGAUACGGUAUUUCGUAUGGAUAUUAUUCGAAACGUUGGUAUUCGACAAACUGUAGCCGACUCCGCUGUCCCAGAGGAAACAGCAUUGAUUGAUCUAGAUAACUGCAAGGUCAUAAAUUCCUCCGAUAAAAUGGUUGACGCGUCAGUAGCUCCGAACCAGAAGCUGAUUAAUGCAAAGAGAUUCCGCAAUAGUUUACCAAAUAUCGCAUUAAAUAGUGCUCCAGAUGUUACAGUAUCUGCACGACCGCCAUCACCGCCACUUCAACAACUAAUCAAUUCAUUUGAUACGCAUUUAAAACUGAAUAUUUUCAAUAAUACUCAUAAUGUUAUACAAAGUAGUCAUAAUCACGCUGAUGCCAGUUAUACGAGCCAGCAAAACAAUAGUAAAGCGAUAUUCAACUCGAAUUGCGAAAUGAAAUUGCCACCAGCAAAAGUAGAGAAAAUUGAAUGUGACUUUAACUUGGAUCCCACGGAAACGAACGAGAGUCACGUUAGAGCUGAAUCGAUAAAUAAUAGUGUUGAUAACAGAGACAAAAUUCUAGGGGUUGACCAACAGGAUGAAGAAGGAUGCGCUGUCAGCGGUCGGUUGGAAAUUCGUGUCAUUCCAAAAGAGAGCCCGAAUCCUGAUGAAUCGAUUUAUUUUGAUGCUCUAGCAAAUGGUACUUCGAUUAAUAUUAAAAACAUUAAUAUUGUUAGAAAUGGCGUACUCGACUUACAACAUUAUUUAUUAGGUAACAAUAACCAAAACAGUGCGGCAGUAUCUACAACAUCGCAUUUUCAAACGCCAACUAGUCAUGUAUGUCCAGAAGUUCAUCAAACAUCUGUAGCAGCGACGAAGUCGAAAACCGUAAAUGAUAGACCAAGCAGUCAAAUUUCAUCAACAGUACCCUUGAAUGAGUCGAAAUUGAUACAUCAAGAUCAAAGUGAGGAUUAUCAUAACCUGCAAAGCGUAUUUCAUAGUCAUCAACAAAUCGGCAACACUAACCUCACGGAAAAUUGUGAUGGGGAAGAUAACAGCAAGGUUCUUGAUGAAUCUGCUGUAAUUGCCGCUAGAACACAAGAUCCUCGACACGAAGCCGCUAGUUUCAACAAAGUUAAACUAGACGACCCAACACAGAAAGAGCAAUACGAGUGCAUACAUCAUAAAGACAAUCUGGUUCCUUCAGGGAUUAGCAGCGGUGUCGCUAGUAGAAUCCCCGUGUUGAACACAAGUUUACGUUUAUCGAAAUGUGCAUCUUGGUCUGGAUGUGAUGUUCAGCCGUCAGGUCAUAUUGUAACAGCAGCAGGAAAUUCAUCAGCUGGAACUGCAAGUAAUUCAUCAGCAGCAACGACAACUACCACAACUAUUUCCAAUAACGCACAACUUAAUGUCGAUAUGAUUGAUCUUACACCUGAUUUUGAUUAGUUACAAAAUACAAUAAAAAUAUAGUGUAGUAGAAAAACACACAAGCUUUUCUAAUACUAAGAAAACAAAUGAAAUGAAUCAGUUCCAUCUCAACAAAAAUUAAUCACUAUCUUCAAAACAAAGUCAAAAUCGUUUAUAUUUAAAUCUGACUUCCCUUCAAUCCAAUCAUCAUUAUCCUACUACACAGCAUUGCGGCGACGACGUCAAACUGAAAAAUAUGUAACCGACCCAUCUCAACUGAAUCUACGAUUUCAAAGACCUCGAUCGAGGCACAUAAACAGAAACCGCGGUAUACCGACUCACAUGUUAGGUACAUUUGAAGACAACUCUUCAGAC